UACGGGGGGGAGCAAGCGUUGUUCGGAUUUACUGGGCGUAAAGGGCGCGUAGGCGGCGUGACAAGUCACUUGUGAAAUCUCCGGGCUUAACUCGGAGCGGCCAAGUGAUACUGUCGUGCUAGAGUGCGGAAGGGGCUACUGGAAUUCUCGGUGUAGCGGUGAAAUGCGUAGAUAUCGGAAGGAACAUCAGUGGCGAAAGCGGCUUCCUGGACCAGUACCGACGUUCAGGCACGAAAGCGUGGGGAGCAAACAGG
rnacentral:rRNA from 1 species